rnacentral:misc_RNA from 1 species
GUCGAUUUCAAGCUCUGAUUAUGAGGAGAAUCAGAGUAAACGCUUUCAGUUUAAAUCGGAACCUCAAGUAUUCAUCGAUCUUACUUCACCGAAAUCAAGGAAAUUGUGUAGCGCUAGUGAUAGGAAACCUUCACUGAAAAUUGAUUUACCUCCGGUGAAGAAGUAUGAAUGGAUCGAUUUUGGUAAUUCGGCUCAAUCGAAUCCGAUUGUUUCGGUUCCUGUGAAACAGAUUAGGGAAGCUGAAGAGAAGAGGCAUUACAGAGGAGUGCGGCAGCGGCCAUGGGGAAAGUACGCGGCGGAGAUCCGAGAUCCGAGACGCCGUGGUUCUAGAGUUUGGCUUGGAACAUUUGAUACUGCAAUUGAAGCGGCGAAGGCUUAUGAUAAAGCUGCAUUUACGAUGCGAGGAAGUAAAGCGAUUCUGAAUUUUCCUUUGGAGGUAGGGAAGACUCUGUCGUAUUCAAGCUCCGCCGUGGAAGGCGGCGUGAAGCGGCGGAGAGAAGCGGUGGAAACUGAAGAAGAGAAGGUGGUGAAGAAGUGUAAGGAAGAGGAGUCAUGUCCAUUAACGCCGUCAAGUUGGAAUUUCGUUUUUGAACAGAACUGUAACGGAAUGUUUAACCUCCCUCCAUUAUCACCGUUAUCUCCUCACCUAAGCUGUUCGCAGCUUAUUCAAAUAUGAGUGACUAUUAAGAGCUUACAUGAUAUUAUGAAUCUAGUUCAUGACUGUAUAUG